GUUGUUUGUAAAUAUUUUAUAAGUUGUUUUUUCAAAUCUGAAUCUCUUAUUAUUUUUUGUGAUUUGUUUUGUUGUGAUUUUGUCAAAAUGUAGUUUUAUCUCAGAAAGCUUGAAUAUAACAAAAAAAAAAAGGGCUUGAUUGGUGAUUUUAUGCUUUCUAAAUUUGUAGAAAAUUCCAUAUCAUUAUUUAUUCUUCUUACAAUCGUCUAUUUUGAUAUAAGCUGUAUCUGAUAAAAAUUGACCUUAUGCAAAUUAACAUCAAGACAACUUUAAACUUAGACUUAGACAUGUACAUUUUUAGGUGCACUUACAUAAGGUCUAUAUCUAUCUGAAGCUUCUCAUCUAUUAUAAUGUAUUGUAUUUUUUU
rnacentral:lncRNA from 1 species